CCCUGAGGAGUGUUAAAAUUCAGCUUGAGAGGCACUUAGUGUCACAGAAGCCUAGAUAAAGAAACAAGAUUUCAGGCAGGAAGAAAUAAUAAAGAGGCAGGACUUCAAGUGUCCUGUGAAACGCAGCAUUCGGCCUCCGGCACACACAUCCGCGGGAGGCGGCUCAACUUCUUUAUAAAGUGAGGAACCAAAUUGUGAAGACAUCUGUUCUGUUAUUAAUUUCACAUACAUCUUAAGCUCCUCAAGGCCAGAAAUGAGGCUUCAUUCACGUCGAAUUAAUGAAACAUGAUUUCAUGUGUUGCUGAUGGAUGGGGAUGUGUUCUGAGAAAUGCAUCAUGAGGCUGUUUCAUCAUUGUGCCAACCUCACAGAGUGUACUUACACACACCUUGAUGGUAUGAGCUAUAUGGAAUAGCCUUUUGCUCCUAGACCACAAACCUGUAUAGCAGGUACCACACUGAAUACUGUAGGCAAUUGUAACACCGUGGUAAGCAUUUGCAUAUGUAAAUAUAGAAAAGGUACAGUAAAAUUAUGGUACAAAAUGUAGAAAAUGGUACACUUGUAUAGGGCACUUACCGUGAAUGGAGCUUGCAGGACUGGAAUUUGUUCUGGGUGAGUCAGUGGGUGAGUGGUGAGUGAAUGUGAAGGCCUAGGACAUUACUGUAUACUACUAGAGACUUAAUAAACACUGUACACUUAGGCCAUGCUCAAUUUAUAAAAAAUAAAGUAAUUGCACCACAAUGUUACAAUGGCUACUGUGUCACUAGGUGACAUGAAUUUUUCAGCUCCAUUAUAAUCUUAUGGGAUCACCGUCAUCUAUACAGCCUGUUGUUGACCGAAACGUCGUUACACAACGCAUGACAGUAUUGUGUUCUAGGGGAAACAGACUAGCUUAUACCAGCAGCUGAUUAGCUCUCAACACCUGUCCUCAAAAUAAUGUACAGGUGGAUCAAAUUCAACUGUCAGCGGAUAAAGAUAUAUCUUAAUACAGGGGAUGUUGGACUCCAGCAGUUAGCAUUAACCCAGUGGUGGAACCAAUUUGUAUAUAUGAAUAGAUACAAUCCCAGCUACAUUUUUGCCCCUGUGUAUUUUGAGGCUUUGUUGUAUGAUCCAUGCUUUGUAGAUCUGUGAAAAACACUUCCAGGCAUCCAGUUGAAAAACCCUUGACCAACAGUAUAAAAACGACUUUUAGCUUUACCUAAGCACAAGGCAGCAUCAAAGGGGUCUGGCUUCCUUGCUGGAAGUUCUUCUGAAAGAAAUGAUCAGUUAGUAUUUAUGCUUUUUGUCCUUCUGUAUUAUGCAACAGCACAAAUGCACAACUGCCCCAGUGGGACAAUCUAACGCAUAGCCUGCCUGUCACACAGUUUUAAAGUUGGACGCAUGUGUCUUUGGCAUGUCCCAGGUCUCCUUUCAACUUCUUUCAGAAUCUCUUUUUUACCACCCUCCAGUCCAGCGCUUGAGGUUCUCAGGAUGACCCUGGGUCAUUUCUAGCUUAAAGAGAGUGGGCUUUGAGAAAUACCUUGAAAAUUGUGAGUUCAAUUUUUAAAGAUGGCUACAAUGCUAAUGGUGAAAUUUCAGGCUUUGUGGCAGUUGGAUGAAAGGAAUGUUUUUGAGCAAAAGAUCUUUCCAACAAUCCCUCAAACCUACAAUGCAUAAAAGUGGACUUGUUUAGGUAAGUCGGUAAAUUAUGCCUGAUCUCAGUUUUCCUCCAUGUAAAGAGGAAGAAACUGAACUAGAAGUAGAAUGAUCUUUAAGAUUUAUUAAAGAGAGAAAGAGAGAGAGAGAGAGAGAGAGAGAGAGAGAGAGAGAGAGAGAGAGAAUGGUUUGUCAUGUGCAAAAAAAGGCAAGGUUCUUCCUUACAAGUAGCACAGGGAUUCAUUCAUUCAUUCAUUCAUUCAUUCAUUCAUUCUGUGUGUGUGUGUGAGAGUCGUCUCUGGGCCAAACUCCGUAUCACAGUUCUUUCACAUCAUUUCACCUACCCCUUACAACAACCUGUGAGGUAGGUAUUCCUAACAGGAGUGGUUGUCAAUUUAUUUAACUAUCAAUAAGCCACAGAUACCUGCCAGUCAGAACACUGAGUUAAACACUAGAACAGGGUCCUGGAGACCCCUGGCUGUGCCAGGUAUUUGUUGCUAGAUGAGGAAAGAGGUGGGGAGGAACCAGGGUGCCUGGCACAAUGAAGUGGAGAUUGGGAAACUAUUUGCCAACUGGCCAGGGAAAUGCUCUAAUUUUUAAACUGCUGGUAUGGAUUUUGUACUAUUGGAUAUGGCUGAACAUCAGCCCUGAUUUUCAAUCUCCCCAUUCUGCAAAGGACAAAGCUGAGGCCCUGGGAGGUCAAUAAACCUUCUCAAGAUAAACCCAUCAAAAAGCGACAGGCUUGAGUUGAAAGCUACUUUAAGUCUUUGAGACUCCAAAGUUGGUGUUCUUAACCAUUAUGCUGACUGUGCGCAUGCCUCUAAGUUGACCUCAGUCCGUGCCAGGCUGGCCUGGCAUUUCUCUACAAAGAACUGGAGGAAAGUGGCUCUGGAGGAAAGAUCUGGUUUGAGUGGGAGUAGAGUUGGCCGAUUUAGUAAGUAAAAAUACAGGACACACAGUUAAAUUUGAAUUUCAGAUAAACAACAAAUAGUGCUUUUGUAUAUUUUUAGCUUAUUGCACGAGAUAUACU